AAGGCGGCGUAAGCUGUCGCUAUGGGAUGGCCCCGCGGUGCAUUAGCUAGUUGGUAAGGUAACGGCUUACCAAGGCGAUGAUGCAUAGCCGAGUUGAGAGACUGAUCGGCCACAUUGGGACUGAGACACGGCCCAAACUCCUACGGGAGGCAGCAGUAGGGAAUCUUCCACAAUGGACGCAAGUCUGAUGGAGCAACGCCGCGUGAGUGAAGAAGGUUUUCGGAUCGUAAAGCUCUGUUGUUGGUGAAGAAGGAUAGAGGUAGUANCUGSCCUUUAUUUGAC
rnacentral:rRNA from 1 species